ACUGUGCUUAUCCAGUGUUGGUGCCAACAAUGAUAGAAAUUGAGGAGAUUUUUAUCUGAUAUGAUCAGAUGACAUCACUCCACCAAUCAAAAUUUUUUUAAAAUUAAUUAAAAUUUUUUGAUUGGUCGAAUGAUGUGGCACUGCAUGGCACAGCAAGGUCUAUUUAAACCCUGUCUGUGCCUAGGGUUUAGAGAUUCUUCUCAAUACCCAGCAAAAAUAAGAUUUCCCUCCACUUCUUUAUGUCUCCUCUGCUCCUCUCUCUCCCCUCUUCAUGUCCAAGAAGUUGGAUGUCCAUCAGGUGC
rnacentral:lncRNA from 1 species